CAGCACCACAUAAAUUCUUCUGCACUUGCUAUUGCUUUUGUUUCCUCUUACAAAGAGGCAUAUUAUGGGCUUCAUAGCAAGAUUCCCAUGUCAUUAAAGAAGACAGAAGCAGAAGAACUGCAGCAGCAAAAGUAACACCUGAAGCACAGAAACUCAUGGGCUUUCCUGCCCAAAGAUCUUUUAACAGUGCAAGCCCAGCUCUCAGACUUCAGCAAACUCCCAGAAUACAGGAUUUGGUGCAUCUGUGUUACUGGAUUUGUACAUUCCAAAGAAAAUGGCUUCUGCAUACCCUGA
rnacentral:lncRNA from 12 species